UACGAAGGGGGCGAGCGUUGUUCGGAUUCACUGGGCGUAAAGGGUGCGUAGGCGGCCGGGUAAGUCUGAUGUGAAAUCUCACAGCUUAACUGUGAAACUGCAUUGGAUACUAUCCGGCUCGAGGAAUGGAGGGGAGACUGGAAUACUUGGUGUAGCAGUGAAAUGCGUAGAUAUCAAGUGGAACACCAGUGGCGAAGGCGAGUCUCUGGACAUUUCCUGACGCUGAGGCACGAAAGCCAGGGGAGCAAACGGG
rnacentral:rRNA from 1 species